rnacentral:misc_RNA from 1 species
GAUGAAGAACGUAGCGAAAUGCGAUAAGUAAUGUGAAUUGCAGAAUUCAGUGAAUCAUCGAAUCUUUGAACGCACAUUGCGCCCGCUAGUAUUCUGGCGGGCAUACCUGUCCGAGCGUCAUUUCAACCCUCAAGCCCCCGGGCUUGGUGUUGGGGAUCGGCGAGCCUCCGCGCCCGCCGUCCCCUAAAUCUAGUGGCGGUCUCGCUGUAGCUUCCUCUGCGUAGUAGCACACCUCGCACUGGGAAACAGCGCGGCCACGCCGUUAAACCCCCAACUUCUGAACGUUUGACCUCGGAUCAGGUAGGAAUACCCGCUGAACUUAAGCAUAUCAAUAAGCGGAGGA